GACGAACGCUGGCGGCGUGCUUAACACAUGCAAGUCGAACGGAAAGGCCCUGCUUUUGUGGGGUGCUCGAGUGGCGAACGGUGAGUAACACGUGAGUAACCUGCCCUUGACUUUGGGAUAACUUCAGGAAACUGGGGCUAAUACCGGAUAGGAGCUCCUGCUGCAUGGUGGGGUUGGAAAGUUUCGGCGGUUGGGGAUGGACUCGCGGCUUAUCAGCUUGUUGGUGGGGUAGUGGCUUACCAAGGCUUUGACGGGUAGCCGGCCUGAGAGGGUGACCGGCCACAUUGGGACUGAGAUACGGCCCAGACUCCUACGGGAGGCAGCAGUGGGGAAUAUUGCACAAUGGGCGGAAGCCUGAUGCAGCAACGCCGCGUGCGGGAUGACGGCCUCGGUUGGUAACCGACUUCGUCCUCGUGACGAAGACGUGAGUGACGGUAA
rnacentral:rRNA from 1 species